rnacentral:rRNA from 1 species
AUGGCGUGGAGCGAUGCCGAGAACGAGAGGUUCGAGCGCGCGCUGGCCACGUACGGCCGCGACACGGCCGGCCUCUGGGAGCGCGUGGCGGCGGCGGUCGGCGGCGGCAAGACGGCCGACGACGUCAGGCGCCACUACGACCUGCUGACGCAGGACAUCGGCGACAUCGAGUCCGGCCGCUACGGUUACCCCAACGGCGGCGCCAACGGCAACACCAACCGCAACAACGGCAGGAACAGGACCAACCGGCCCCAGACAUGA